GUCCACGCCCUAAACGAUGACAAUUAGCUGUUGGCCCCAUUAAGGGGUGAGUAGCGAAGCUAACGCGUGAAAUUGUCCGCCUGGGGAGUACGGUCGCAAGAUUAAAACUCAAAGGAAUUGACGGGGACCCGCACAAGCGGUGGAUGAUGUGGAUUAAUUCGAUGCAACGCGAAGAACCUUACCUGGUCUUGACAUGUACAGAAGGUUUUAGAGAUAAGACUGUGCCUUCGGGAACUGUAACACAGGUGCUGCAUGGCU
rnacentral:rRNA from 1 species